GGAGCUACCCAGCUGCACCCAGCCCAAGUGGUCAGCUGCAGAACUGUGAGCCAAGGUGCUUGCUUUAAAUCAUUGUUUGGGCUUUUUUUUUUUUUUUAAUGCAGCAGCAGAUGACUGAUACAUUCUUCUGGCCAUUGUCCUAUGUUCUUGUGAAAUGAUCUCUCUGAAAUGCAGCCUGAACGUGACAUCCCUGUUCAGCAUCUCUGUUGACUGGCAUGGCCUUCUGAUAUCUUCUCUCUCCCAAAUCUCCUGGAAAGUAAGUCUGGCCUCCUGCCCACUGCUUUAAAUACUACCCCAGAUACAGGGAGCUCUGCCACCAUCAAGGCAACUCAGAUGGUAGGAUCCCUGGUGCUCAGGCCUUUUCUCUGACCUCCCAGUCUCAUGGGCAUCCCUGGUCUGGACCGAGCCCUGCUUCAGGAGUCCUGCUCACUGAAUCCCGCCUUAAGCGCCUGGAAACAGCAGAUGCUUAAUAAACUUCAGCAAAUGAACAAAGGAGUGCAGACUCUGCACUGCAAGAGCUUCCAAGUGCUCAAGCAAAGCCCCAGGAAGCCAACAGGAGCUGGGCUGCCAAUCAAAGGGCUGUCCCUGAUGGCAUAGUGGUCUGGCGGCCCACCCCCUGCCUGCCUCUCCAUCACCAAGCUCCAGGAACACUGCCUCCUUGCCAUUUCCUGAAUGAACCUGGGUCUUCUUUGAUGUCCCUUGAGGACAGCUCCUUCUCGUGCAGCAGGAGAGAUCCCCUCUCCCCAACCCUUCCUUGGAGACUGUCCUUGGCACCAGGCCCAAUGACCUCUCCUCCCCAGGCCCUUCUAGCACCUUGCCUGCCUGACUGCCCACCCCUCACCUCACUGGUCUUAUCUUAAUGAAAGUGAAAAGUGAAAAUGAAGUCACUCAGUCGUGUCCGACUCUUUGCGACCCCAUGGACUGUAGCCUACCAGGCUCC
ensembl:lncRNA